AAAAAAUAUACAUAUAACAUUGGAUAGGAAAUUCAGAGGAAAUUCAAAAUGUAUAAUUUGUCUGUUCACUGCUUAGUUCUCUGCAUUUUCAUUUUUUUCUCUUUUACCACUGAAAUUGUCAAAUUACAAUAAUAUUAUAAUUACAAAACUCUCAAGCCUCUAUGGUAAGUUUUUGGCUAGAUAUUAAAAAUGCAAGCUUAGCCAUUUGUCAUGCAUAACAAUUAAUGUACUUAGUAUAACAGGAAAAUAUCUCCUUCUGCAGUACAUGAGAGAGUUCUUCAACCAGGGUAUUUUGUCCUUCACCAGUUACUAACAGUAGCUGUCUGUACGUGUGUUUGACUUUAACAGUCAAGAAGGAAUUUUUUUUUUACUGAAGUUCCCCACAGUGUUUUGAAUUUCUUUCAGGACAAAAUGCUUUCUGGUUUGUGAAGUUAAACAACAGUACUUACACGGUAUACAGUAGAGGCAAGGGUUAGCAGGAAAAGAAAGGGAAGAAUUAUACUUUUAGGUAAGACUUUGGGUUAACUUGGAAUGAAAGAUCUUUGUUCCUUUCUUUACCCCGCAGAGAUUAAUUUAUCUAGCAAGUCUCUAAAUGGAAAUUCCCUGCAAGCUCACAAGCAUUACUGUACCUUACAUUCGUCUUUUCCUUUCAUUCUUUGUCCAUCAGCAUUGUUCUUUUUUUUUUUUUUUUAAUGUGAUUGACCUUUAAACCUGUUGUUAUCAGCCUGCAAGAAAGAGAUAGAGACUCUUUUCAGCUGCCUUGUUUCCCAUGUGACCUACAGGGAGAAUAGAUUCAAAAUAGACUAGUUCCUCCCAGGGCAAUACAAGGCAGAAGAGAAAAGCACUGUCAUUUCCGAACAGCACAGUGCUAGAGUAAAUUCAGUGUGAAAAAGGAAGGAGUUGCAGCGUGUCAGAAUUCUUCCUCUGGAGCUUGGAUUAUUACAGGAAAAGCAUGUGAAGGAUUUUUAAGGAGAGGAUUUUAAAAAACACUUUGAAAUGGAGUACUUGGAGCACUAUAAGGACAACUGAUGUUUGAAUGCUAGCAAGACUGGAGGAAUUUUUCCAAAAUGAGCAUUGUUAUGAAGCCAAGAUCCCGGUCUACCAGCUCCUUAAGGACUGUCGAGACAAUGUGUUUCGAUGUGGACAAUGGUACAUCAUCAGGACGAAGUCCCUUGGAUCCCAUGACGAGCCCUGGAUCAGGGCUAAUUCUUCAGGCAAAUUUUGUCCACAGUCAACGUAGGGAGUCUUUCCUUUACCGGUCAGACAGUGACUAUGAUCUCUCUCCGAAGUCUAUGUCGAGGAACUCCUCCAUUGCCAGUGAUAUACAUGGAGAUGACUUGAUUGUGACACCAUUUGCUCAGGUGCUGGCCAGCCUGCGUACUGUACGGAAUAACUUUGCUGCAUUAACCAAUUUACAAGAUAGGGCACCCAGCAAACGGUCACCAAUGUGUAACCAACCAUCUAUUAACAAAGCAACUAUAACAGAGGAAGCCUACCAAAAGCUGGCCAGCGAGACCCUGGAGGAGCUGGACUGGUGCCUGGACCAACUGGAGACCCUGCAGACUAGGCACUCCGUCAGCGAAAUGGCCUCCAACAAGUUUAAGCGAAUGCUCAAUCGGGAGCUCACUCACCUGUCUGAAAUGAGCAGAUCAGGCAACCAGGUCUCUGAAUACAUAUCAAACACAUUUUUAGAUAAACAACAUGAAGUUGAAAUCCCUUCUCCAACACAAAAAGAGAAAGAGAAAAAGAAGAGACCAAUGUCUCAGAUCAGCGGAGUCAAAAAACUGAUGCACAGCUCCAGUUUAACCAAUUCCAGUAUUCCCAGGUUUGGAGUUAAAACAGACCAAGAAGAUAUUCUUGCUAAGGAACUAGAAGAUGUGAACAAAUGGGGCCUUCAGGUUUUCAGAGUAGCAGAGCUAUCUGGAAACAGACCUUUGACAGUCAUCAUGCACACCGUUCUUCAGGAACGAGAUCUGUUAAAAACAUUUAAAAUUCCAGUGGAUACUUUAAUAACUUACCUGAUGACCCUAGAAGACCACUACCAUGCAGAUGUAGCAUAUCACAAUAACAUACACGCUGCAGAUGUUGUUCAGUCAACCCAUGUUCUGCUGUCAACCCCAGCAUUAGAGGCUGUGUUCACUGAUUUGGAGAUUCUUGCAGCAAUUUUUGCCAGUGCAAUACAUGAUGUAGAUCAUCCUGGGGUUUCAAACCAGUUUCUUAUCAACACAAAUUCUGAACUUGCCUUGAUGUACAAUGACUCAUCAGUACUGGAGAAUCAUCACUUAGCUGUGGGUUUCAAGUUGCUACAGGAAGAAAAUUGUGACAUUUUCCAGAAUUUGACCAAAAAACAGAGGCAGUCAUUGAGGAAAAUGGUCAUUGACAUUGUCCUUGCUACAGACAUGUCUAAGCAUAUGAAUCUUUUGGCUGAUUUAAAAACUAUGGUUGAAACCAAAAAAGUGACAAGUUCUGGUGUCCUGCUUCUUGAUAACUAUUCAGAUAGGAUUCAGGUUCUUCAGAAUAUGGUGCACUGUGCAGAUCUCAGCAAUCCAACCAAGCCACUCCAUCUCUACCGCCAAUGGACAGACAGAAUAAUGGAGGAAUUCUUCCGCCAAGGAGAUCGGGAAAGAGAGAGAGGAAUGGAGAUAAGUCCCAUGUGUGAUAAGCACAAUGCAUCUGUAGAAAAAUCACAGGUGGGCUUUAUUGACUACAUUGUUCAUCCUCUGUGGGAGACAUGGGCAGAUCUUGUUCACCCGGAUGCCCAGGAUAUCUUAGAUACACUGGAGGACAAUCGAGAAUGGUACCAGAGCACAAUCCCUCAGAGUCCCUCUCCUGCACCCGAUGACCAGGAGGAGAGUAGAAAGGGCCAGACUGAAAAAUUCCAGUUUGAACUAACACUGGAGGAAGAUGGUGAGUCAGAUACCGAAAAGGACAGUGGAAGUCAAGUAGAAGAAGACACCAGCUGCAGCGACUCAAAGACCCUUUGCACCCAGGAUUCAGAAUCUACCGAAAUUCCUCUUGAUGAGCAAGUAGGGGAAGAAGUAGAAGAGGAGGAGAAUCAGGCAGAAGCUUGUGUAGUAGACCAUUCUUCUGACACAUAACAAUGAGGACAUAGCUCAUUUCUUUCUUGCCCCCUCCCUUUUUCUUCUUUCUCUCUCUCUCUCUCUAUCUCUGUUUGUGUGUGUGUGUGUUUUUGUUUGUUUGUUUUUGUUGUUGUUGUUGUUGUUGUUGUUGUUGUUGUUUUUUAAAUUAGGUAAUGGUUUCUAAAGUGUAUGUCAUGUGCUAUCACCAUGAUCACAACUCACUGUCAUCAGCCAGGAUGUUUGUUGAGCAAAACUGACCUUGGUGACUCAGUUUGGCACUCAGGAAUAUUGUGACCAGAAUCUUCACCUUCAUUGCAUCAGAAAGCAGGGGAGUGAACAUCGAUAAACUACGUUUUAAUAAGCUCUCAAUUUCGCAAAUUUGAUUAAAUAAAGCAAAUGUUUUCACAGGAGCACCACCUGAAUGCUGGUAUGCUUUGGUAGUUUUUGAUUUUAUUUUACUUCACAAGUUAAGCAUUGGAUAAUGUUCAUCAUCAGAGGAAACAGACAGAAAAUAAACUGAGGUUCUUGCUGGAAAACAAAUGCACACAAACGAUGGGAUACAACAUGAAUCUGUGUAAGACGAAUGUGUCACCAACAGGAAGAUGAGCUGUGGAAAUCACAUGAUUUUCUAAUUUGAAGUCUUCCUGAUAAGUGACUGAAAAGAGUGUGACACGGUCAAAGUUUUCUCUACUUUAGCCCUCACAGGGCUUUAGCACAGAUGAUGCUGAAGGAGGAAAGAGAAUGAAGAGAACUCAUGUUUUUUCAUGUUUUGACUUUUUUGUUCUUCAUCAUUUUUUCCUGAUCCACCUAAAAGUCUUCUCGAUCCCCAAGAGUGCCUGGAGCUUUAAUAACGGAAAAGCAAUAUAAAUUCCAAAAUAACCAGUAAAACCUGAAAAGGUUUUGUAUCUGCACAAAUUGAAAAUAAAUGAAGAGAAUAACACCAUAUUGAGAUAUAUACCCAUACAUAUGGACAAUCACAUAAUGGAAAAUGAUAUCAUUUCUUAGAGAUGGGGAUAUAACGCACUGUACAAUCUUUUUUUUUUCCUCUUUUGCCAAAGUGUGUUUUAGCAUUGCGCACUGCUUUAAAACAAUACAAUUUACAAGUGGCUUUAUGUAUUCUAAAUAUUUUUGCCAUAAGAAAAUGCAGUGAGUUGGGUAUUGAGUGCAGCAGCGGGGGGUGGGGGGUAAGAAAAUUCAUAUUGCUUAUAACAGUACGCUUUAGCUUGCAAGUUACUGUACUCAAUAAUGCUGUGUUUGAAUUUUUAAUUGUUUUGUGUCAUUGUUAAAAAUUAUGAUGAAAGGAUAUAGAUAGAACAAACAGCAUUCAGAAGUUUAAAAAAACUUGAAUGAAAUGGAUUUUACAGAAAGCUUUGACAAUUCUCUUAAAAUGCAUUAUUUAUUUUAUUUGUGCCAUAGAUUUUUCUCACCAAAUGACCUUACCUGUAAUACAGUCUUAUUUGUCUCUGUUUACAACUGUGUAUUUAUUGUAAUGUACAUACUGUAAUGUUAAUUGUAAAUUAUCUGUUCUUAUGAUAACAUCAUCCUUGUCUGGGUGGUGUUGCUCUAUUUGGAAACUCUUGGUGAGAGAAUGAUUAUUGUGGAUACAUAUUUCUUGUACAUUUUUUUCUCCUGUAAUAUAUUCUGUGUCACCUUAGAGCUUGUUUAUGGAAGAUUCAAGAAAAGUAUAAAGUACGUGAAGAUAUAUCAAUAAAAUUAAAAAAAAAAAAAAAAAAAAAAAA